UACAGAAUGAAGCGCUCAUUUCUUCCCUCUAUUUUUUUCACCAAAUAUUUUGAACAACACUUGUAAGAAUUUGCUUCCCUCUAUUCUCAAUUCUCACGUACAGAAGUACAUACAGUAGCUUUCAAUACCCCUUUUACUCCAUUUUCCCCAUUGCCAAUUUCUCACCAUUUUCCCCAACUUCUCAGAUCUCAUAACUUCAAUUCUCCAAAAAUACUUCAAAUUUUGAGACGAAAAUCACGAAAAAAAAUACUCCAAAAUUGUAAGAGGAAAAUAAGCAAAGAAAUCACUAAGGCGACACUCCGGCGGUGGUGGCUGAAGGCGGUGGUGGCUGAAGGCGGCACAGGCGGUCUCAAUUUCAUUUUGCAUGUCCCUUCCUUGAGCUGAUUGCUCGAAAUUCUCUUCAAGGUGAAUGGGGAGUCAAAUGGAGCGGAAGUAUAGUGACUAGCCAUCUAACAAAUGGUGCAUAUAUGUUGGCGACUCUUAUUCAAGUUCCGGCUUUGUGAAGAUUUGGAUAUUUCGGCUUAUAUAUAUGUUGACAAUUUGUAUUUUGGACGAUCAAAUUAAUUAUCUAACUUUUAUUUAUUAUUAGUACGGUACGUAUGUCAUACCAAAAAUAGGCAAGUAAUAUUUUGUAAUGUACGUAUUUUGCAUUAUAAUUAUUAUAUAUAAAUGAUACUUUAAUUUGUUUAUGUUAGUA